GAUGAACGCUGGCGGCGUGCCUAAUACAUGCAAGUCGAGCGAACAGAUGAGGAGCUUGCUCCUCUGACGUUAGCGGCGGACGGGUGAGUAACACGAGGAUAACCUACCUAUCAGACUGGGAUAACUUCGGGAAACCGGAGCUAAUACCGGAUAAUAUAUUGAACCGCAUGGUUCAAUAGUGAAAGACGGUUUUGCUGUCCCUUAUCGAUGGAUCCGCGCCGCAUUAGCUAGUUGGUAAGGUAACGGCUUACCAAGGCAACGAUGCGUAGCCGACCUGAGAGGGUGAUCGGCCACACUGGAACUGAGACACGGUCCAGACUCCUACGGGAGGCAGCAGUAGGGAAUCUUCCGCAAUGGGCGAAAGCUUGACGGAGCAACGCCGCGUGAGUGAUGAAGGUCUUCGGAUCGUAAAACUCUGUUAUUAGGGAAGAACAAAUGUGUAAGUAACUAUGCACGUCUUGACGGUACCUAAUCAGAAAGCCACGGCUAACUACGUG
rnacentral:rRNA from 1 species